CCAAACAGCAAGCAAUGCAGGUGUAGAAGCACGGUGGCUAGGAAAAACUCCAUAGAAAGGCCAAAACUUAGGAAGAAACCUAGAGAGGAACCAGGCUAUGAGGGGUGGCCAGUUCUCUUCUGGCUGUGCCGGGUGGAGAUUAUAACAGAACAUGGCCAAGAUGUUAAAAUGUUCAUAAAUGACCAGCAUGGUCAAAUAAUAAUAAUCAUAGUAGUUGUCGAGGGUGCAACAAGCACGUCCGGUGAACAGGUCAGGGUUCCGUAGCCGCAGGCAGAACAGUUGAAACUGGAGCAGCAGCAUGGCCAGGUGGACUGGGGACAGCAAGGAGUCAUCAUGCCAGGUAGUCCUGAGGCAUGGUCCUAGGGCUCAGG
rnacentral:lncRNA from 1 species